CGGGUGAAAGGGGGCGCAAGCUCUUGCUAUUAGAUGAGCCUAAAUCAGAUUAGCUGGUUGGUGGGGUAAAGGCCCACCAAGGCGACGAUCUGUAACUGGUCUGAGAGGAUGAUCAGUCACWCCGGAACUGAGACACGGUCCGGACUCCUACGGGAGGCAGCAGUGGGGAAUAUUGGWCAAUGGGGGCAACCCUGAUCCAGCCAUGCCGCGUGUGUGAAGAAGGCCUUUUGGUUGUAAAGCACUUUAAGCAGGGAGGAGAGGCUAAUGGUUAAUACCCAUUAGAUUAGACGUUACCUGCAGAAUAAGCACCGGCUAACUCUGUGCCAGCAGCCGCGGUAAUACAGAGGGUGCGAGCGUUAAUCGGAAUUACUGGGCGUAAAGCGAGUGUAGGUGGCUCAUUAAGUCACAUGUGAAAUCCCCGGGCUUAACCUGGGAACUGCAUGUGAUACUGGUGGUGCUAGAAUAUGUGAGAGGGAAGUAGAAUUCCAGGUGUAGCGGUGAAAUGCGUAGAGAUCUGGAGGAAUACCGAUGGCGAAGGCAGCUUCCUGGCAUAAUAUUGACA
rnacentral:rRNA from 1 species